AUUGAACGCUGGCGGCAGGCCUAACACAUGCAAGUCGAGCGCGCGGCGGACGGGUGAGUAAAGUAUGGGGAUCUGCACGAUAGAGGGGGGUCACUACUGGAAACGGUGGCUAAUACCGCAUACUAUCGGAUGUACCCCAAUGGGAUUCACUAGUAGGUGGGGUAAAGGCUCACCUAGGCGCCGAUCUCUAGCUGGGCUGAGAGGAUGAUCAGCCACACUGGGACUGAGACACGGCCCAGACUCCUAAGGGAGGCAGCAGUGGAGAAUAUUGCACAAUGGGCGCAAGCCUGAUGCGGCCAUGCCGCGUGUAUGAAGAAGGCCUUAGGGUUGUAAAGUACUUUCAGCGGGGAGGCGUUACCCGCAGAAGAAGCACCGGCUAACUCCGUGCCAGCAGCCGCGGUAAUAC
rnacentral:rRNA from 1 species